GAUGAACGCUGGCGGCGUGCCUAAUACAUGCAAGUCGAGCGAACGGACGAGAAGCUUGCUUCUCUGAUGUUAGCGGCGGACGGGUGAGUAACACGUGGAUAACCUACCUAUAAGACUGGGAUAACUUCGGGAAACCGGAGCUAAUACCGGAUAAUAUUUUGAACCGCAUGGUUCAAAAGUGAAAGACGGUCUUGCUGUCACUUAUAGAUGGAUCCGCGCUGCAUUAGCUAGUUGGUAGGGUAACGGCUUACCAAGGCAACGAUGCAUAGCCGACCUGAGAGGGUGAUCGGCCACACUGGAACUGAGACACGGUCCAGACUCCUACGGGAGGCAGCAGUAGGGAAUCUUCCGCAAUGGGCGAAAGCCUGACGGAGCAACGCCGCGUGAGUGAUGAAGGUCUUCGGAUCGUAAAACUCUGUUAUUAGGGAAGAACAUAUGUGUAAGUAACUGUGCACAUCUUGACGGUACCUAAUCAGAAAGCCACGGCUAACUACGUG
rnacentral:rRNA from 1 species